GGGCCUAUGGGCCCGAGAGAGAACGUGGAAUCUACUAGUAGGGGUGGUUGGGGCGUUACAAGAAUUGUGAGACCCCAAUCCCCUCUUAGGCCCACUCAAGGCCCAACAGCCCUAAUAACAAAAAAAAAAACUAACGUUAAUAUGAGUAUAUAUGUGUAUCGUCGUUCUUGUCGCCGCAGCCUCCCUUCAUCACCACCAUCGUUCUUAGCUUUGAGAAACAAAAGCAAAUCGUGAUUCUUAACCACCACCAUCCACCAUUGUUGAGUUUGAAGCUAUCGUUUGUGGGUGUAGUUGUGAUUUUUGUUCGAGAACAAGUGGUGAGAAAGGAGUUGAUCUUCACGAACCGUAACGUUCCGUCGUAGUCAUCACCAUUGGUCACUGGCUCGUUGGGGAAAGGAGAGAUCAGUUCUAGUAGAGAUAUUCUUGAACAUUUUCCCGUCUGAUCUGAAGGAACCAGAUCAUGAUUUUGGUGUCGUUGGAUAGAUCUCUCUGCAAGGAAGACAUAGCAACCAACGGCUCGUCGUUACGAGAUUCAAGUUGGCCUUUUAGAGAGCAGAUUCCGGUCAUAUCGAAGCAGUGGAGGGCAAGCCGACGGUAGAAACGUUUAGAGGGAGUGUCAGGCAAGCCAUUGGAGCCGUCGUAGUCACAAGAAAAGUGUUUGGAGGUCCGAGUCUAAUCCGAUCAAGCUGAAAUUUUGGGGAGAGCUUCGUGGUACAGCAUGGUUCAAAUUCAAAGGUGGGAUUAAGAAGUUAACGGUCCAUUCUGAAGUUAAUGGUGCGUUUGUUUGGACACUUAAGUGAGUUGUUCUCCGUCAUCAAAAAAGGCAAAGGUCAGGGUGAGAAUUGUGAGUAGUCGCGCAAGUCCGUCUCUCUUAUGGUGUAUUUCAGGAACCUCGGGUUAUUGGUUAUUAUUAUUAUUUUUAUACGUUUUAUUCAACGGUUUUAAACGAUUUAAGUUUAGUUUUAAGACAAGUUUAUAUUGAGUUUUUAGUAAAAGAAAUGAUUUUCGGGAAAAUACGACAAUAAUGAAUUAAGGAAGUGGAAUAGAGGAAAAGAUAAGUAAGGUGAACGUACGCCGUCUUAAUGU